rnacentral:rRNA from 1 species
GACGAACGCUGGCGGUGUGCUUCACACAUGCAAGUCGAACGGAGUAGCAAUACUCAGUGGCGGACGGGUGAGUAACACGUGGGAAUCUACCAUUAGAUGGGGAAUAACAGGCCGAAAGGACUGCUAAUGCCGCAUAUGUAUGUGCCUCGACAGGGGCUAUAUGAAAGGAGUAAUCCGUCUGAUGAUGAGCCCGNGUCCGAUUAGCUAGUUGGUAGGAAAAGCCUACCAAGGCGACGAUCGGUAGGUGGUCUGAGAGGAUGAUCACCACAAUGGGACUGAGACACGGCCAUACUCCUACGGGAGGCAGCAGUGGGGAAUUUUGUGCAAUGGGGGAAACCCUGACACAGCGACACCGCGUGAGCGAAGAAGCCCUUUGGGGUGUAAAGCUCUGUCAACGGGAACGAAAAAAUGACGGUACCCGUGGAGGAAGCAUCGGCUAACUACGUGCCAG